GACAGGUGGUGGCAUGGUUGUCGUCAGCUCGUGUCGUGAGAUGUUGGGUUAAGUCCCGCAACGAGCGCAACCCUUAUUGCUAGUUACCAUCAUUAAGUUGGGGACGUCUAGCGAGACUGCCAGUGAUAAACUGGAGGAAAGGUGGGGGAUGACGUCAAAUCAUCAUGCCCCUUAUGACCUGGGCUACAAACGUGAUACAAUGGCUGAAACAAAGGGCAGCGAAGCAGUGAUGUGGAGCGAAACCCAAAAAGCAGUCUCAGUUCGGAUUGAAGUCUGCAACUCGACUUCAUGAAGUUGGAAUCGCUAAUAAUCGUAGAUCAGAACGCUACGGUGAAUACGUUCUCGGGGUUU
rnacentral:rRNA from 1 species